ensembl:lncRNA
GAGAACCCCGUCAGAUCUGGAGUCGCCGAGGCGGCUGUGACGCCCGGGGCCCCGCUCUCUCCAUAACACGCUCCCCUGCCCCGGAGGCUGCUCUGACCGCACCUCCACUGUUUGACUUAAUGCUGCUGUGGACAUUCGUGUAUAAGUUUUUGUGUGGAUAUGUGCUUUUGUUUUUCUUGGAUACGCCUGGAAUUGCUGGGUCACAUGGCAACUCUAUAUGUAAAAUCUGAGGAGCUGCCUACACUGUUUUUUAUAUUCCCAACAGUGAUGUACAAGGGUCCCAAUUUCCCCAAAUCCUUACUAGUGCUUGUUAUUGUCUGUCUUCCUGAUUACCACCAUCACUGGUGUUCCAAAUAACCACCAAUUCUCUAAUUUCCUGAUACUGCCCAGGCAUAUCCAAUUCAAUUCAGUUCUGUCACUGACUACCCAGAAUAGGUGUCAGACUUCACACGUUAAGGGCUCAGUCUGUGAUUGGUGGACUAUAAAUGGGGGGGGGGGCAUACCCUUCAAGUUCAAUACUCUAGACGACUCACAGGAAAGUGCUGCACUUAUGGUGAUAGUUUAUUUUAAAGGGUACAAGUUGAAACCACCAAGUGGAAGAGAGGUACAGAGCAGGAAUAGGGAACUCCAGGCAUACACCACCCUCUAGCACAGUGGCAUGCUCACUAACCCACAGCUCUCUGACUGCUUUGUUUUGGUGUUCUUACUGACUUUCAUUAAGCAGACAUUAUAGAUUAGAUUGCUGACCUUCCUGGAGCUAGGAUCUGAUGGUUCCAGUCCUCUAGUCACUAGCAAGUCCCCAGGAUUGUAGGAACUCUGUGACAUAGGCCUGGGACAAAGACCAAAUGUGUACUUUUUACUAUGCCACAACCAUCCCACAGCCAUCCCUGUACCAGAAGAGACUGCACUUCCUCCUUGAAUCGCCUGGACACCCUCAUCAAAAAUCCAACUGGCUUAUCCAUGUAUGAGCUGGUUUCUAGCCUUCCUUUCUGUCCUGUUAACAUACAUGUCUAUUGUCACACCAGCU